UUAGAGUUUGAUCCUGGCUCAGGAUGAACGCUGGCGGCGUGCCUAAUACAUGCAAGUCGAGCGAAUGGAUUGAGAGCUUGCUCUCAAGAAGUUAGCGGCGGACGGGUGAGUAACACGUGGGUAACCUGCCCAUAAGACUGGGAUAACUCCGGGAAACCGGGGCUAAUACCGGAUAACAUUUUGAACUGCAUGGUUCGAAAUUGAAAGGCGGCUUCGGCUGUCACUUAUGGAUGGACCCGCGUCGCAUUAGCUAGUUGGUGAGGUAACGGCUCACCAAGGCAACGAUGCGUAGCCGACCUGAGAGGGUGAUCGGCCACACUGGGACUGAGACACGGCCCAGACUCCUACGGGAGGCAGCAGUAGGGAAUCUUCCGCAAUGGACGAAAGUCUGACGGAGCAACGCCGCGUGAGUGAUGAAGGCUUUCGGGUCGUAAAACUCUGUUGUUAGGGAAGAAC
rnacentral:rRNA from 1 species